GUUAAUGUAGCUUAAUAUUAAAAGCAAGACACUGAAAAUGUCUAGACGGGUAGUAAUUACCCCAUAAACA
rnacentral:tRNA from 1 species